rnacentral:rRNA from 1 species
GUAGGGAAUAUUGCACAAUGGAGGAAACUCUGAUGCAGCGACGCCGCGUGAGUGAUGAAGGCCUUCGGGUCGUAAAACUCUGUGAUAAGGGAAGAUGAUGACGGUACCUUAUCAGAAAAGACCGGCUAACUUCGUGCCAGCAGCCGCGGUAAUACGAGGGGUCUAAGCGUUGUUCGGAAUCACUGGGCGUAAAGCGGGUGUAGGUGGCUAUGCAAGUUGGAUGUGAAAGCCCCGGGCUCAACCCGGGAAGUGCAUCCAAAACUACGUAGCGUGAGUGCUGGAGAGAAAGGCAGAAUUCCUGGUGUAGUGGUGGAAUACGUAGAUAUCAGGAGGAACUCCGGUGGCGAAGGCGGCCUUUUGGCCCAGCACUGACACUCAGACCCGAAAGCGUGGGUAGCAAACAGGAUUAGAAACCCGUGUAGUCC